UUUGUGUAUCAAUAUGAAAAAAUAUUCUCCAAUCAAGGGGAGUUCCUUCAUUCCACUUCCAAAGUUUAUAGAAAAGAAAAAGGCAUGUGUUAAUAUUCGUAAUAAUGAUAAUCGGUGUUUCAAGUAUGCUAUACUUUCAGCAUUGCAUCCUAGUGAAACUAAUCCCAAUAGAGUUAAUCAAUAUCAUUUGUAUGAGAACGAGCUAAACUUUGGUGAUAUAGAAUUUCCAGUCAAACUUAAAGAUGUUCCAAAAUUCGAAAAAUUAAAUGAUAUUCCAGUAAAUGUAUACAUGUUAAAAAAGUAUAAUGCAAAGUUUGAAGUAUCGCCAUGCCAUAUUACAAAAGAAAAGAAAGAAAAACAUGUUAAUCUACUCCUCAUUCAAGAUUUUUACAUAAAUGAAAAUGAAGAAAAUAAUCAUGAUGUUGGCGGAAGCUUGCCUAAAUACCACUACGUUUGGAUUAAGUAUCUGUCUCGACUUUUAAGCUCUCAAUUAAGCAAAUCACAUGUAAAAUCAUACCACUGGGAAAGGUGUUUACAAAUUUUUUACUGUGAAGAAAGGCUGGAAAUGCACGAAAAUGAUUGCAAAAAUUUAAAUAAAUGUCGAAUUAAUUUGCCCGACUUUAAGAAUAACAUUCUUAAAUUUGAAGAUUAUAAUAUAAAAGUAAAAAAGUUCCUUUUGUUAUUUAUGCAGAUUUUGAAUGUUUGUUAAAGCCUACUGAAAAUGAAAAUGCUUUUCAGCUUCAUGAAGCAUAUAGCAUAGGCUAUUAUAUAAAGUGCAGCUUCGAUGACAGUUUAUGUGUUUAUAAAUCAUACAGACAAAAAAAUGAAGAUGAAGAGACACCGGCAAAAUGGUUUGUUCGAGAACUGAAAGGAAUUAGUGAAAAGAUUGAUCUACUCUACAAAAAUCCAAAACCAAUAAGACUUACAGAUCUAGAAGAAUUAUCUUUUCGGAGGUCAACUGUUUGCCGUAUAUGCUGAAAGCCUAUCAAAAGUGAAGAACUCACAGUAGACCAUUGUCAUCUAACAGGGCGGUACGUUAGUUUUUAAUGUAUACAAAUAUUUGACUUUAAUGGUGUACAUCAUGUAAGACAUUUUUUUCUAUUUAGUUUUAGAGGUGCAGCUCACAAUUCAUGCAAUUUAAAUUACAAGGAUUCGAGGUUUGUGCCGGUUAUCUUUCAUAACCUCAAUUAUGACACACACUUCAUUUUGAAAGGGAUUGCUACUUCUACAAUAAUGAGUGGACGAGUAUCUCUGAUACUUCACAACAAAGAAAAAUAUAUUUCAUUUACGAAGUAUAUAGAUGACUGUGACAUCAGUUUUAGAUUUAUAGAUUCAUGGCGUUUUUUACCAUCAUCGUUGGAAAAGCUUGCAUCAUAUUUGGAAACCGUGCCGAUAGCAGUAAAUGAGUUCAAAACUGAUGAAUUUACAGAUGAGCAAAUCAAUCUUCUGAGACGAAAAGGUAUAUUUCCAUAUGAUUUCGUAGAUGGAUUGGACAAGUUGAUUACUACAAUACUGCCAGAGAAGAAUGAGUUUUACAAAAACUAACAGAUUCUCAUAUUAUUGACGAAGACUAUCACCAUGCUGUUACAGUAUGGAAUAUGUUUACUAUAAAAACUUUGGGUGAAUAUUCAGAUUUGUACUUGAAAACAGAUGUUUUAUUAUUAGCUGACGUCUUCGAAAGUUUUCGAGAGACAUCUCUGAAAGCGUAGACUCCAGGUCUCACAUUUUCAGCAGCUCUAAAAAUGACAAAAGUGGAAUUGGAGCUUCUUACAGAUAUAGAUAUGCUGAUGUUUGUUGAAGCAGGCAUUCGAGGAGGAAUAAGUCAAUGUUGCAAUCGGUAUGCUAAGGCGAACAAUCCGUACAUGGGACCAUCAUACAAUAAGAAUCAGAAAACGAAGACACUCUUAUAUUUUGAUAUUAAUAAUCUUUAUGGAUGGGCCAUGGUGCAGUAUUUACCAGUGGGAAAAUUCAAAUGGAUUAAAUAUGAAACGAAUUCAAAUUUUUUCAAUGCAUCACCAGACUCUGAUACAGACUACUUUGCUGAAGUAGAUUUAGAGUAUCCUGAAGAAAUACAUGAUGAUCAUCAAGAUUUGCCUUUUUGUGCAGAGCAUCGUACACCCCCUGGCUCAAAGCAAAAGAAACUGUUGACUACUUUGAACGAUAAGAAAAGGUAUGUCAUUCAUUAUCUUGCAUUAAAACAGGUAUUAGAUAAUGGACUUCGACUAAAAAAAGUGCAUAGGAUUCUGAGUUUUGAGCAGAAGCCUUGGCUCAAACCAUAUGUUGAAUUUAAUACAGAGAAGAGAAAGCAGGCCAAGCAUGAGUUUGAGAAGCUUUUCUACAAGUUAUUAAUUAAUGUAGUAUAUUGUAAGUGCAUCGAGCGAGAACGAUCUCGCGUUGAUGUGCGAUUAGUGAAUAAAUUCACUGGUCGAUAUGGAGCAGAAGCACGUAUAGCUCAACCAAAUUUUCAUAGUUGUGCUAUCUUUGAUGAAAAUUUGAUUGCUAUACAGCUAAAGAGAACGAGUAUUACAAUUAAAAAUCCCAAUAUACGUUGGUCUCAGCAUUCUCGAUUUGUCUAAAACAUUGUUAUACGAUUUUCAUUAUUCAUAUAUGAAGCGUCGACUUGGGGACAAAUGUAAACUCCUUUACACCGACACAGAUAGUCUAAUAUAUGAAGUUGUUGACGUGGAUAUGUAUAAAAUAAUGAAAGAAGACUUGCACAAAUUUGAUACUUCUGAUUACAAAGAGAACAAUCAAUUUGGAAUCCCGCGUGUCAAUAAAAAAGUGCCUGGAUUAAUGAAAGAUGAAUGCUGUGGCAAGAUUAUGACGGAAUUUAUUGGUUUACGUAGCAAAAUGUAUUUUGAUAGAUGUAUCUGAGACUGUGAAGAAAGCCAAAGGCAUAAAAUCGAGUGUUGUGAAGACAACAAUCACGUUCGAAGAUUAUCGAAAAUGUCUUGAAGAACAAAUUAUUGUUAAACGUGAGCAGUGCAACAUUCGCUCUAAAUUGCAUGUAGUGCAUACUGAAAAACAGAAUAAAAUAGCACUAAGUCCGCAUGAUGAUAAAAGAUACUUAUUACCUCAUAGCACAGACACUUUGCCUUGGAGUCAUUACCGAAUUAUUGAGGAACAAAUGGCGCUGGCUGUAAUUCAAAUGGAGGGGGAUGAAAAAAUGGCUGAUACAAGAGAAGAAAGAGUGGGGGAGAUGGAAGUGGAGAAAGAGUAUGAAGCGACCAAUACUGAAGAAGAAAGCGAGAGAGCAAUGGAGAGGGGGAACGAAGUGACCAGUGAAAACAGUGCAGCACGAGUGGGAAUGACACUUUAUGGCGAUACAGGCGAACAAAUCAUUAUCGAAUACGAUGUUUGUGAGGAGUAUAUGCACGAAUGGAAUCCAUCGAUGGAGGCGGCAUCUUCCGAUAGAAGGGAUAUUCUACAAGAGGCGAUGGAAGGGGCAGACAUCAUGGUGGGGAAUGGGCUAUAUCAACCGACACAGCACGGUGAAGAGCACAUUCGAGCAGUCGAGCUUGAAAAUUACCUGCCUUUGGAGAAGAAACCAAGACUCACUUAACAUUUCCAAAAUGGAUCUAUCUGCACUUAACAAAAUUGCUGAGCGGGAGUUCUUGCCCAAGAAGAAAGCCAUGGACUUAGAAAAAGAUCAUGCAUACAUGGUGACUGCGCUCAAGGAAGUAAAGACGAGAUUCGGCACGAAGAUCGUGGCAAUGUUGAAAGAUCAAGAACUUUUCAAUAAUCUCUGUAAUACAGCAAAUAAACUUAGUUUAUUUAUAACAUAUCAGGGUGGAACUUCUUUUAAGUUCACCACAUGCUAAAAUAAUGAAAUACAAAGACUGAUAAUUGUUAAAUACUAUUUAUUUAUUUGUUCAAACUUGUGUGCAAUUUACAUGAAUAAAUACAUUAUUAAAUAUAA